UCCAUGGGCAGAAGACAUCUUCCCCCUCCCCACCCCUCUGUCCCUGUCUGCACUCUCCUCUGAGUCUGCCUGCCUGGCCUGCCCUAGCCAAGGGAGGUGCACAAGGGACUCUAGCACUUCAUUGGUCUGAGAAGGUCUCCAUGCCCUUAAAGAGAAGGUGGAUUUUCUACUGAGCCACCCGAGAAGCCCUUUUAUACCUCCUUACGCAGCCAGCUGCCUGCAGCUCGACAGUCCAUCCUGUUCGGCCAGCGGGACUCCCUGAUUUUUAGCUCCAGACUCGGGCACAAAACCAUCUAAAGCAAGAUGUCUGAGUAAG